AGUGAACGCUGGCGGUAGGCCUAACACAUGCAAGUCGAACGGCAGCACAGUAAGAGCUUGCUCUUACGGGUGGCGAGUGGCGGACGGGUGAGGAAUACAUCGGAAUCUACUUUUUCGUGGGGGAUAACGUAGGGAGACUUACGCUAAUACCGCAUACGACCUACGGGUGAAAGCAGGGGAUCUUCGGACCUUGCGCGAUUGAAUGAGCCGAUGUCGGAUUAGCUAGUUGGCGGGGUAAAGGCCCACCAAGGCGACGAUCCGUAGCUGGUCUGAGAGGAUGAUCGGCCACACUGGAACUGAGACACGGUCCAGACGCCGACGGGAGGCAGCAGUGGGGAAUAGUGGACAAUGGGCGCAAGCCUGAUCCAGCCAUACCGCGUGGGUGAAGAAGGCCUUCGGGUUGUAAAGCCCUUUUGUUGGGAAAGAAAAGCAGCAGGUUAAUACCCCGCUGUUCUGACGGUACCCAAAGAAUAAGCACCGGCUAACUUCGUG
rnacentral:rRNA from 1 species